rnacentral:lncRNA from 1 species
UUGUUUUUAGUGGAAGAAGACGUCAAGUCUUCUGAAGACUUAAGGGGCCGACCAUUUGCAUUGAGUCUCCGUAUGCCGCAUUCAUUUCGUGUAUUACAAUUUCAAAACAACUUAGAUUCCUGACACCGAUUUUUACACAUGAUUAGGCAUCUGAAUCAUUUAAUUUGUAAAUUAUGAUUGUAAAACAAUCACUAUCGUAAAUAUGACCCUUUUAUUUAUGUAAAUUAUUAGAUUUCAUCUCAUCCACAUGAACGUUAUUUGUUUACUUGUAACAGGAUGUUUUCACUGUAGAUAUUUGUAUUACGCAUGCGUGAAUUUGGUAUCGGGACAACUCGCCCUGUUUAGAAGUUCGC